UGGGGAAUAUUGGACAAUGGGCGAAAGCCUGAUCCAGCAAUGCCGCGUGAGUGAUGAAGGCCUUAGGGUUGUAAAGCUCUUUUUGUGGGGAUGCACGGCUAACAUCCGUGGAUCUUGACCUAACCCACAGAAAAAGCACCGGCUAACUCU
rnacentral:rRNA from 1 species